UACAUGCCCGGCGUCGCUCGUUGAGGGAUUGUUGUAGGACAUAUAGGCCCUGCGUAUGUAUGCUCGCGGGCAGAUACGCCCUACAAAAACUCCCUCCGGGCCGAAGUCGCCGAGAGUACGUA
rnacentral:miRNA from 1 species